CAAUAGCGUAUAUUAAAGUUGUUGCGGUUAAAAAGCUCGUAGUUGGAUCUCGGCAGGCAGGGGGUGGUUCGCUCUUAGCGCUACUGACCCAUUUGCCUGUGUGAUUGGCGGAGGUUUCGGGGUGCUCUUCGUUGAGUGACCCGGGGCGCCGUCAGGUUUACUUUGAAAAAAUUAGAGUGCUCAAAGCAGGCUUUUCACGCUUGAAUAUUCGUGCAUGGAAUAAUGGAAUAGGAACUCGUUUCUAUUUUGUUGGUUUUCGGAAAUCGAGUUAAUGAUUAAUAGGGACAAUUGGGGGCAUUAGUAUUCAGACGACAGAGGUGAAAUUCUUGGACCGUCUGAAGACUAACUACUGCGAAAGCAUUUGCCAAGAGUGUUUUCAUUAA
rnacentral:rRNA from 1 species